GUGAAAGUGAAGUGUUAAAUUUUGUUAAAAAUUUAUUAUUUUGUACUCGCUUAAUGCAAAUACAAAGUUAAUUAUUGUGUGUGCAACUAAAGUGUUAUGUGAUGAACUUUGCAUCAAUUGAAUUAGUCGCAGCGUAAUUAAUAACAGCGUGCUUGCAUUUGCUUUACCAAAAAAUAUUUGAAACAAAUAUGAAUUUGUGGCAAGUUGCUGCUGACUUUAAUGCAACGCAAAGCAAAGCAAACUAAUCGAUUGAUGCAAAGUUCAAGGAUUCUAGCAACAGUUGGCAUUUAAGGAAAAGAAGCGAGUGAAUUUUCGUGCAUUUGUUUUAUUGAAUGCGACCUCCUACAUUUACGAUAUUUUGCACAUUACCAACACUGCAGAACUAUAUAUAUAUGUAUAUAAGCAUGUAUAUCGAUUUGAAGCAAAAGUUUUGAAACAGUUAUUGGCAUCAUCAAUUGAAGUCGUACAAAUGGCGCUGCUCCCAGUGUUGCACAGGACUCAGUCGCAGUCUUCGUCUCCAUCUCCAUCUGCAGGACUCGCAUCCUUUUGAGCAACAGAAGGAGGUUGUGCUGUCGCUGCUGCUGCAGUUCGAAGAGUGGCAAAUGUAACGGCGCAAAAGCUUUCUCGAGUGCAUAAAUCUGUCGCUAGAAUUUCCUUUUCCAAGUCAUUUUAUGAUUAUGUGAGAGAUUUUUCCGGCACAACUUGCAAGCCAUCUGCGAGCGUGUGGGUGUGCCAAGUGUACGUGUGUGUGUGAGUGUGUGUGUGUGAGUGACUGUAUAAUGCAACUGUAAAUUCGAUGUGCUCAAGUCGUUUCAGCAUUGCAUUUGAAGCCACUUUGAUGCUUCUUUUGACUUGAAUGUUCCAAUAAUUAUUAAAAUCGAUUUUAAUGUUUAUUUUCUCUCUGUGAAUUGCGAUUAUUGCAAAGUGCAACAGCAACAAUCCGCUGUUAUUGCUAUUGGCAUAUAAAUAUAUUUAAU